rnacentral:rRNA from 1 species
GCGACGGGCGAUAUGUACAUAUUAGUAUAAAUUAUCAAAAAAACUAAUUAUUCUUUUUUUACUCCCUAAUCCAACCUUCAUUUCAUCAAUUAUUUCAAUAUAACUUUACAGUUUCACAUUUCAAUAUAAAAGUAACUCAUCUAAACCUACAAAAAUCUACAUUUUGACUUGAAUUCUUUAUUUUAUAAUCACAUUCCAUUUAUUCAAAUAAUAAAUAAUAAAUUAAACAGCAAUACAUAAAAAAAAUUAUAGGUAAAAUUUAAUGGGUAAUAUCAAAUUAAAUAGACAAGUUCCUCAGAAUUUAACCAAAUACCGCCAAUACUUCUAAAAUUCAUAAAAAAAUUAAAUAAAAUCUUGAUAAUAUUUUUCAUUAAAAUAAUAGGGUAUCUAA